rnacentral:rRNA from 1 species
GACGAACCGUGCGAACGUUAUUCGGAAUUACUGGGCUUAAAGCGCGUGUAGGCGGGCCGGCACGUCCGACGCUGAAAUCCCCCGGCUCAACCGGGGAAGUGGCGGGGAUACGACCGGCCUCGAGGGGGGUAGGGGGACCUGGAAUUCCGUGGUGUAGCGGUGAAAUGCGCAGAGUAUCAGGAGGAACACCGGUGGCGAAGGCGGUUCUCUGGGCAUGUCCUGACGCUGAGGAGCGAAAGUGUGGGGAGCGAACAGG